rnacentral:rRNA from 1 species
UACGUAGGGUGCGAGCGUUGCCCGGAUUUAUUGGGCGUAAAGGGCGCGUAGGUGGCCCGGUCAGUCUUUGGUGAAAGCGCGGGGCUCAACCCUGCGUCGGCCAGGGAUACUGCCGCGGCUCGAGCACUGUAGAGGCAGGCGGAAUUCCGGGUGUAGCGGUGGAAUGCGUAGAGAUCCGGAGGAACACCAGCGGCGAAGGCGGCAUCCUGGACUGGUCCUGACACUCGAGGAGCGAAAGCGUGGGGAGCGAGUCCGG